rnacentral:rRNA from 1 species
CCUACGGGUGGCAGCAGUGGGGAAUAUUGGACAAUGGGGGGAACCCUGAUCCAGCGACGCCGCGUGAGUGAAGAAGUAUUUCGGUAUGUAAAGCUCUAUCAGCAGGGAAGAAAGAAAUGACUGUACCUGACUAAGAAGCCCCGGCUAACGACGUGCCAGCAGCCGCGGUAAGACGGAGGGGGCAAGCGUUAUACGGAUUUACUGGGGUGAAAGGGGUCGGAGACGGCGAUGCAAGUUUGAAGUGAAAGUCGGGGGCCCAACCCCCGGACUGCUUUGGAAACUGUAUGGCUGGAGUGCAGGAGAGGUAAGUGGAAUUCCUAGUGUAGCGGUGAAAUGCGUAGAUAUUAGGAGGAACACCAGUGGCGAAGGCGGCUUACUGGACUGUAACUGACGUUGAGGCUCGAAAGCGUGGGGAGCAAACAGGAUUAGAUACCCCUGUAGUC